GCAGGAAUUUUAACCAUCUCUAGCGGCGGAAAGAAAUGUGAAAAAUGGAAGAAAUUGAAGAAAGAAAAAAUAAUCCAUUUGAGACAGACUUGUACCAUGCUGUGAUAAAGAUAGGAGAUGACCGAACAGAUAUAAAUACCAAUGGUAUGCAACCCCAACGUAAUAUUUAAUACCCUCUACAUUGAAAUUCCAACGACAUAAAAUGCAAAUCACAUGUGCCUCAUUAAAGACAACGAAACGUACAUCAUCUGACUCUUCCUUCUCCUCCUCCUUCUUGGCUUCUUCCUUCUCCUCGGCAGCAGGGGCAGCAGAACCGCCACCAGCGCCUGCAGAAGACACCACAACACCGCCACCUCCACCUGAGGGUACGGAUGCGAACUUUUCCUUUCCUGCUGCAAUAACUUCCAAGAUAUCUUUUCCCUCGAGCUCCUUCAACAAUAGGCUUACUCUAGCCGCAUCUGCCUCAGCACCGACUG
rnacentral:lncRNA from 1 species